rnacentral:rRNA from 1 species
CCUACGGGGAGCAGCAGUGAGGAAUAUUGGUCAAUGGACGAGAGUCUGAACCAGCCAAGUAGCGUGAAGGAUGACUGCCCUAUGGGUUGUAAACUUCUUUUAUAUGGGAAUAAAAUGUUCCACGUGUGGGAUUUUGUAUGUACCAUAUGAAUAAGGAUCGGCUAACUCCGUGCCAGCAGCCGCGGUAAUACGGAGGAUCCGAGCGUUAUCCGGAUUUAUUGGGUUUAAAGGGAGCGUAGGUGGAUUGUUAAGUCAGUUGUGAAAGUUUGCGGCUCAACCGUAAAAUUGCAGUUGAAACUGGCAGUCUUGAGUACAGUAGAGGUGGGCGGAAUUCGUGGUGUAGCGGUGAAAUGCUUAGAUAUCACGAAGAACUCCGAUUGCGAAGGCAGUUCACUGGACUGCAACUGACUCUGAGGCUCGAAAGUGUGGGUAUCAAACAGGAUUAGAUACCCGGGUAGUC